rnacentral:tmRNA from 1 species
GGGGGCGUAUUGGUUUCGACGUGAAGUUUGAUGCCCGGCCCGCAUGCCGAGGAUGAUUCGUUGGCCUCGUUAAAAAUCGGAUCAAACAAAUAAACGCAGAUUACGAAGAUCUCGCUCUCGCGGCCUAACGUGCCGUGACGUGUUUCCGGUGACGCCUGCUAGGCGGAAAUACGACGACAGCAGGCUAGCUCAAGGCUGGGGCGACCGCGGCCAAGAGUGAAUUCGAUUUCGUGGACGCUCAGGAGCGGGUAGCGCGACGACCCGUAGCAUCGCUCCAAAA